GCUAUAUCACCCUGUAGCCCAAGACUAAUCACCCACUGAAGCUAAGCAGGCUUGAGCCUGGUCAGUACCUGGAUGGGAGACCUCCUGGGAAAACUAGGUUGC
rnacentral:rRNA from 1 species